GCGGAUGUGGUGGAAUUGGUAGACACGCCAGAUUUAGGUUCUGGUGCCGCGAGGCGUGAAGGUUCAAGUCCUUUCAUCCGUACCA
rnacentral:tRNA from 4 species